rnacentral:rRNA from 1 species
GGUGGCGACCGGCGCACGGGUGAGUAACGCGUAUGCAACCUACCUAUCAGAGGGGAAUAACCCGGCGAAAGUCGGACUAAUACCGCAUUAAAACAGGGGCACCGCAUGGUGAUAUUGUUAAAGAAAUUCGCUGAUAGAUGGGCAUGCGUUCCAUUAGGUAGUUGGUGAGGUAACGGCUCACCAAGCCGACGAUGGAUAGGGGAACUGAGAGGUUGGUCCCCCACACUGGUACUGAGACACGGACCAGACUCCUACGGGAGGCAGCAGUGAGGAAUAUUGGUCAAGUGGGCGGGAGCCUGAACCAGCCAAGUCGCGUGAAGGGAAAAGAAGGAUACUAUGGUUCGUAAACUUCUUUUGCAGGGGAAUAAAGUGCAGGACGUGUCCUGUUUUGUAUGUACCCUGAGAAUAAGGAUCGGCUAACUCCGUGCCAGCAGCAGC